UAGAUAAAGGCUUGAAACUUAAGAAAUUUGGCGGUGUUUUAGUCCGUUCAGAGGAAUCUGUUCUAUAAUUGAAAGUACACGAAGGUAAAUACUUAAUUUUGUUUAGUUUGUAUACCGCCGUCGUAAGAAUAUUUUAUUUGAAGAAUAUUAAAUUUCGGAAUUAAAAAUGAUUCAGGAUGUCAGGUCAAGGUGCAAUAUAUGAUUAAGAAGAGAUGGAUUACAAUAUUGGGGUAAAUAUUAUGAAAUUUAAAUUGUAAAUUUAAAGGAAGGUGGAUUUGAUAGUAAACUUAAAACUUAUUAAGUUGAUUUAGGCUCUAAAACAUGCACACAUCGCCCGUCGCUCUUA
rnacentral:rRNA from 1 species